rnacentral:tRNA from 1 species
GCAUGAGUGGCUCAGUUGGUUAAGCAACUGUCUCUUGAUUUUGGCUCAGGUCAUGAUCACACAGUUCAUGGGUUCGAGCCCCAUCACGGGCU